GUUUAGAACGUCGUGAGACAGUUCGGUCCCUAUCUACCGUGGGCGCUGGAAAUUUGAGAGGAUCUGCUCCUAGUACGAGAGGACCAGAGUGGACGAACCUCUGGUGUACCGGUUGUGACGCCAGUCGCAUCGCCGGGUAGCUAUGUUCGGAAGGGAUAACCGCUGAAAGCAUCUAAGCGGGAAGCCUACCUCAAGAUAAGAUUUCCCUAGGACUUUAUGUCCUCUAAAGAGCCGUUCGAGACUAGGACGUUGAUAGGUUGGAUGUGGAAGCAUAGUGAUAUGUGAAGCUGACCAAUACUAAUUGCUCGUGAGGCUUGACUAUACAACACCCAAGCAGUUG
rnacentral:rRNA from 1 species